rnacentral:rRNA from 1 species
UGCGUAGGGUGCGAGCGUUAAUCGGAAUUACUGGGCGUAAAGCGUGCGCAGGCGGCUUCGCAAGUCAGACGUGAAAUCCCCGGGCUCAACUUGGGAAUGGCGUUUGAAACUACGAGGCUGGAGUGUGGCAGAGGGAGGUGGAAUUCCACGUGUAGCGGUGAAAUGCGUAGAGAUGUGGAGGAACACCGAUGACGAAGGCAGCCUCCUGGGCCAACACUGACGCUCAUGCACGAAAGCGUGGGGAGCAAACAGG